GAUUGUUUGAUCCUGACUCAGGAUGAACGCUAGCGGCAGGCUUAACACAUGCAAGUCGAGGGGUAGAGAGUGCUUGCACUCUUGAGACCGGCGCACGGGUGCGUAACGCGUAUGCAAUCUACCUUUUACAGAGGGAUAGCCCAGAGAAAUUUGGAUUAAUACCUCAUAGUAUUAUUAAUUGGCAUCAAUUGAUAAUUAAAGCUGAGGCGGUAAAAGAUGAGCAUGCGUUCUAUUAGCUAGAUGGAGUGGUAACGGCACCCCAUGGCAACGAUAGAUAGGGGCCCUGAGAGGGGGAUCCCCCACACUGGUACUGAGACACGGACCAGACUCCUACGGGAGGCAGCAGUGAGGAAUAUUGGACAAUGGGCGAGAGCCUGAUCCAGCCAUGCCGCGUGCAGGAAGACGGUCCUAUGGAUUGUAAACUGCUUUUAUACGGGAAGAAACACCCCUUCGUGAGGGGGCUUGACGGUACCGUAAGAAUAAGGAUCGGCUAACUCCGUGCCAGCAGCCGCGGUAAUACGGAGGAUCCAAGCGUUAUCCGGAAUCAUUGGGUUUAAAGGGUCCGUAGGUGGAUAAUUAAGUCAGAGGUGAAAUCCUGCAGCUCAACUGUAGAAUUGCCUUUGAUACUGGUUAUCUUGAAUUAUUAUGAAGUAGUUAGAAUAUGUAGUGUAGCGGUGAAAUGCAUAGAUAUUACAUAGAAUACCAAUUGCGAAGGCAGAUUACUAAUAAUGGAUUGACACUGAUGGACGAAAGCGUGGGGAGCGAACAGGAUUAGAUACCCUGGUAGUCCACGCCGUAAACGAUGGAUACUAGCUGUUCGGCGUAAGCUGAGUGGCUAAGCGAAAGUGAUAAGUUCCCACGUGG
rnacentral:rRNA from 1 species